UACGUAGGGGGCGAGCGUUGUCCGGAGUUACUGGGCGUAAAGGGCACGCAGGCGGUGCGGCGCGUUUCGCGUGACAGCGGGUGGCUCAACUACCCGAGGAUGCGAAAGACGGCGGCACUUGAGGGCCAGAGAGGGACACGGAAUUCCGGGUGGAGUGGUGAAAUGCGUAGAUAUCCGGAGGAACACCGGUGGCGAAGGCGGCUUCCUGGACCGACACUGACGCUGAGGCGCGAAAGCUAGGGGAGCAAACGGG
rnacentral:rRNA from 1 species